UGCAGCCCAGCCUGUGGGUGAUGGGGAUCAGGAACCUGGCGUGGGGCCCAGGGCUGAGCCUCUGGAAGGUCGUGUGGGUCCUCCAACAGCCAAGAACCAAGAUCCAGGAGAGAAAAAAUCGUUUAAGUCAAAUGAAGUUGUGAAAGAAAUUUUGAAGGAACUGCAGAAAGGGCACGAGAUGGACCAAGAGGCUCUGUGGAAGGCAGC